rnacentral:sRNA from 1 species
GCUAGGCAUGGUGGUGCAUGCCUGUAAUCCCAGCAUCCCAGGAGACUGAGGCAGGAGGAUCACAUGAUGAAAGCCAGCCUCAG